rnacentral:rRNA from 1 species
AAGGCUCAGUAUAACAGCUAUUAUUUAUUUGAUCGUAAACAUAGUUACUUGGAUAACUGUGGUAAUUCCAGAGCUAAUACAUGCAAACAACAUGGAUCCCUGUAGCAAUAUGGGUGAAACAUGUGCUUUUAUUAGAUUAAAACCAUGUCCAUCUUGUAUGGAUUUGUUUUAGAUGAAUCUGGAUAAUUAUGGCUGAUCGUAUGGUCUUGCACCGACGAUAGAUCAUUCAAAUGUCUGCCCUAUCAACUAUUGAUGGUAGUAUAGAGGACUACCAUGGUUGCAACGGGUAACGGGGAAUCAGGGUUCGA